GCCUUAGCUUUGGAUGGACAUAUACUAAAAUUGAAAUGGUACAGAGAUGAUUAGCAUGGCUCCUGCGAAAGAAUGACACGCAAAGCGUUAAUAAAAUGUUAUAAAAGCUU